rnacentral:rRNA from 1 species
CCGCCUACGGGAGGCAGCAGUGGGGGAUAUUGGACAAUGGGGGAAACCCUGAUCCAGCGAUGCCGCGUGAGGGAAGAAGGUUUUCGGAUUGUAAACCUCUGUGGAGGGGGACGAUAAUGACGGUACCCCUUUAGGAAGCCACGGCUAACUACGUGCCAGCAGCCGCGGUAAUACGUAGGUGGCGAGCGUUAUCCGGAUUUACUGGGUGUAAAGGGAGCGUAGGCGGCCUGGCAAGCCUGAUGUGAAAUACCGGGGCCCAACCCCGGGGCUGCAUUGGGAACUGCCAGGCUGGAGUGCCGGAGAGG